CGUUUUGCGGGAUUGCUUAGGGAAGCCGUUAAGGCUUGCUGAGUGUUUGGCUCAGUCUGUCAACCUUAAGUCAAUCCCGCGCCCGA
rnacentral:antisense_RNA from 1 species